rnacentral:rRNA from 1 species
UACGGGGGGGGCAAGCGUUGUUCGGAAUUACUGGGCGUAAAGGGUGCGUAGGCGGUCUGUUAAGUUAGAUGUGAAAACUCUGGGCUCAACCCAGAGCCUGCAUCUAAAACUGGCAGGCUAGAGUUCUGGAGGGGGUAGCGGAAUUCCUGGUGUAGCGGUGAAAUGCGUAGAUAUCAGGAGGAACACCGGUGGCGAAGGCGGCUACCUGGACAGAAACUGACGCUGAGGCACGAAAGCUAGGGGAGCAAACAGG